rnacentral:rRNA from 1 species
AUUGAACGCUGGCGGCAGGCCUAACACAUGCAAGUCGAGCGGAUGAAGGGAGCUUGCUCCUGGAUUCAGCGGCGGACGGGCGAGUAAUGCCUAGGAAUCUGCCUGGUAGUGGGGGAUAACGUCCGGAAACGGGCGCUAAUACCGCAUACGUCCUGAGGGAGAACGUGGGGGAUCUUCGGACCUCACGCUAUCAGAUGAGCCUAGGUCGGAUUAGCUAGUUGGUGGGGUAAAGGCCUACCAAGGCGACGAUCCGUAACUGGUCUGAGAGGAUGAUCAGUCACACUGGAACUGAGACACGGUCCAGACUCCUACGGGAGGCAGCAGUGGGGAAUAUUGGACAAUGGGCGAAAGCCUGAUCCAGCCAUGCCGCGUGUGUGAAGAAGGUCUUCGGAUUGUAAAGCACUUUAAGUUGGGAGGAAGGGCAGUAAGUUAAUACCUUGCUGUUUUGACGUUACCAACAGAAUAAGCACCGGCUAACUUCGUG